CCCUAGCCCGGAUAGCAACGGAAAGCCCGCGCGUGGUGAGGGCUAAUUUUGACCCAACGGCCGUAGCGACUUUAGGAGCUCAAGGACUUUGGUCGUCAAAAAGCCGGAACGAGCGCGGCUUGCAGUGAAUAGCCGGAAAAAGC
rnacentral:sRNA from 1 species